AAGGUUGUAAACUCACUUUUCUCUGGGAAGAACAAAAUGACGGUACCAGAGGAACUCAGCAUCGGCUAAACUCCGUGCCAGCAGCCGCGGUAAGACGGAGGAUGCAACGCGUUAUCCGGAAUAGAUUGGGCGUAAAGCGUCCGCAGGUGGCAGUUCAAGUCCUGCUGUCAAAGACCAGGGGCUCAACCUCGGAAAGGCAGUGGAAACUGAACACGCUAGAGUAUGGUAGGAGGCAAAGGGAAUUCCUGGUGUAGCGGUGAAAUGCCGUAGAGAUCAGGAAGAACAAUCGGUGGCGAAGGCGCUUUGCUGGACCAUAACCUGACACUCAGGGACGAAAGACUAGGGGAGCGAAUGGGAUUAGAUACCCCUCGUAGUCCUAGCCGUAAACGAUAGAGCACUAGGCGAGGCUCGGAUCGACCCGGCACAGUGCCGUAGCUAACGCGUUAAGUAUCCCGNGUGGGGAGUACGCACGCAAGUGUGAAACUCAAAGGAAUU
rnacentral:rRNA from 1 species